AGAGUUUGAUCCUGGCUCAGAUUGAACGCUGGCGGAAUGCUUUACACAUGCAAGUCGAACGGUAACAGCAGAGCUUGCUCUGGCUGACGAGUGGCGGACGGGUGAGUAAUAUAUCGGAACGUGUCCAAUAAUGGGGGAUAACUAAUCGAAAGGUUGGCUAAUACCGCAUACGCCCUGAGGGGGAAAGCUGGGGAUUCUUCGGAACCUGGCGUUAAUGGAGCGGCCGAUACCUGAUUAGCUAGUUGGUGGGGUAAAAGCCUACCAAGGCAACGAUCAGUAGCUGGUCUGAGAGGACGACCAGCCACACUGGGACUGAGACACGGCCCAGACUCCUACGGGAGGCAGCAGUGGGGAAUUUUGGACAAUGGGGGCAACCCUGAUCCAGCCAUUCCGCGUGAGUGAAGAAGGCCUUCGGGUUGUAAAGCUCUUUCGCAAGGGAAGAAACGAUAUAGUUUAAUAGGCUAUGUUAAUGACGGUACCUUGACAAGAAGCACCGGCUAACUACGUGCCAGCAGCCGCGGUAAUA
rnacentral:rRNA from 1 species